CGUUUCUUGUUUCUUCUUUAGGUUUUAACAACAAAAAUCAGAAGUUAAUUUUGUUUCCCCCUUCAGCAAAGGAAACAGUUUCCUUAGGGUUUCUUCAACCCCCAAAUGCCGCCGUUCAGCCUUAUGCUAGAGCCCCGAUCACGACGAAGCCGGCAACAACUGGGUGACUCCAACGAAAGGUACUGCGUGCGGGGAAGGCGCGAGAUUCGCGGCGGCGAGGGGCGCGAUGUGCGGGAUCGACGAGCGCAACGCGCGGGAGCAGUUGCAGCGGCGCUGAGGCAGGGGCUGUUAGGGUUUCUGAAAUUUUGACGUUUUUUGGGCUGGGGUCUGAAAAUUAGUUGUUGGGCCUGUUAAUGGUUUGGGCCUGGGCAUUAUUGGGUUUGUACAAUAAGGAUUCAGAUUUUAAUUACUUUUAAGAAUUAUUAAAAUAAUAGAAUUUAUAAAUAUUUUGAAAUAUACAA